rnacentral:rRNA from 1 species
AUUGAACGCUGGCGGCAUGCCUUACACAUGCAAGUCGAACGGCAGCGGACCUUCGGGUGCCGGCGAGUGGCGAACGGGUGAGUAAUAUAUCGGAACGUACCUUUCAGUGGGGGAUAACGUAGCGAAAGUUACGCUAAUACCGCAUAUUCUGUGAGCAGGAAAGCAGGGGAUCGCAAGACCUUGCGCUGAUUGAGCGGCCGAUAUCAGAUUAGCUAGUUGGUGAGGUAAAGGCUCACCAAGGCGACGAUCUGUAGCGGGUCUGAGAGGAUGAUCCGCCACACUGGAACUGAGACACGGUCCAGACUCCUACGGGAGGCAGCAGUGGGGAAUUUUGGACAAUGGGCGCAAGCCUGAUCCAGCAAUGCCGCGUGCAGGACGAAGGCCUU